UUCAGUGAUGAUAAACACUGCAUAUAGGAAGUGCCGUCUGAUGCGAGAACUGACGAUAGCAAUGACCAGAUCUGAGA